UCCCCGUAAACUGUGCAUGGCAUUUAUUGAUAUAUAUUAUUCUCUCUCCUAAAAAGACAGACUAUGUGUGUAAACUUAAAAUAUAGGGUAUAGCAUUUAUUAUACCCUUUUUUUUUUUCAUUUAUUUGAAACGGUUUUUUUCCUCUUCUAUCAUCGUCAUCAUUCUUCCAUGUCUAUCUCUUCUCUCUCAUCUUUGCAAAUCAAAGUUAUUUUUUUCUUUUUCUUUUUUUCUCUCUUAUCAGUUCUCACCCACCGCCAUGUCCACUUUUCACCAGAUCUGAUCCGAAUCCCACGUCGGAUCAUGUCAACACAGGUAUGGCACCCCAAACUGCCAAAUCCGGCUAAGGAAGUUUCUCACUAGCCAAAAUGUAAUAAUCCUUUCUACUAUAUCUCCAAUUAAUAAAACCACUUUUUCUACCUGUUCCUAUCCUCCUCCUUUUUGUUUAGGUCCUAAAAGGAGAAAAUAUUUUUUCAAAUUAAGUUAAAAUGAAAUUAUAUGCAAAGUAAUACGGGCAUCAGAAUGAAAUUGCACUCAAUAAAAAUUUCACAUGCUACAAACAACUGAAAAUGGAGUUCUUAGUUUUAUGCUUAAGAGAAUGAAGAAAGUAAAAUCUCUUAAAACAAGCAAAGGCCUCCCAAACAAUAUCAAUAGAUGUGGUAAAAUGAAAUGCAUGUUUAACCAAGACGCACAUGAAAGUUACCUAGCAAACAACACUGACAUAACAUCUUUCGUAUUCUAGAUUUGAAAUGUAUAUAUAUAUUUAACAUGAACUUCAAAUAAUAUCUAGCUGCCCAUCUUCAUUUUCAUUAAUGUUCAUGUCCAACCUUACAGUGCUAGCUUACACAACCCAAAACAUGAAAAAAAUCAACUUGCUAAUAGAUGUGUACCGCAAUUAAAGCAUCAAGAACUCAAUCGGAGAAAGGUGAUCAAAUGAACUUACCAAGUUCUCUACCAAGCCUCCAGGCAUUUGACAGUGAAUAAGAAAAUUACAAAAAUGGAAAGAAAGGAAAUGGGAUAGGGAGAAGAGAGGGGAGUAAAUUUGAACUACCAAGUACCAGCUAUAAAUAGCAUAC
rnacentral:lncRNA from 1 species